GACGAACGCUGGCGGCGUGCUUAACACAUGCAAGUCGAACGGCAAGGCCCUGCUUUUGUGGGGUGCUCGAGUGGCGAACGGGUGAGUAACACGUGAGUAACCUGCCCUUGACUUUGGGAUAACUUCAGGAAACUGGGGCUAAUACCGGAUAGGAGCUCAUGCUGCAUGGUGGGGGUUGGAAAGUUUCGGCGGUUGGGGAUGGACUCGCGGCUUAUCAGCUUGUUGGUGGGGUAGUGGCUUACCAAGGCUUUGACGGGUAGCCGGCCUGAGAGGGUGACCGGCCACAUUGGGACUGAGAUACGGCCCAGACUCCUACGGGAGGCAGCAGUGGGGAAUAUUGCACAAUGGGAGGAAGCCUGAGGCAGCAACGCCGCGUGCGGGAUGACGGCCUUCGGGUUGUAAACCGCUUUCGCCUGUGACGAAGCGUGAGUGACGGUAAUGGGUAAAGAAGCACCGGCUAACUACGUG
rnacentral:rRNA from 1 species